CUAACAGGCGCCGCAGGGACAGCCAAAGCGGGAGGCCUUCGUGGCACUGGAAGCCUCGGAGAGCCCCCUACAGGCGGGAGGACCCGAAAAGAAAAUACUUCCGCUCAGCUGGGCGGAGCUAGGGAGCCGAGGUGGAAGUGGCUGUAAUCAGGUUUGUCAUUACAAACAACGUCGGUAUGAACCUUCUUAGAAUGCACGGAUUCAGUUACCAGAAUAUGCUUGCUAAAUAUUAUACCAACUUCAGGGACAAAGAGAGUGAUCACAGACCUGCUUAUGACAUGGAGUACACAUGGCUAGAACAAGGGAAAGAAAACAUCAAGAAACAGCUGGAAAAAAGAAAUCAUGUAUUCAUUGAAAAAGGCAAGCCUAUAAACAAUGAUAUUGUGUACUGGGUGAACAAGUACAGUAGAUGGCAGUUUAGUAACAUCCAAUAUCGUUUUGUCAUGUUUAGAAGUCAUCUUUUUUUUUUAAAGAAUAUGUAAAAAAUAUGCAUCUUAUGUUUUA